CCACUCGAUGACGAGGAGUUGAUGUCCUACAUCCUUGCCGGUCUCGACGACGAUUGGGAACCGGUUGUCUCCUCUCUUAUUGGGAGACCGGAUGUCGUCUCCUUCCACGAGCUUUACUCUCAACUCCUCAACUUCGAGU
rfam:Oryza nivara chromosome 4, whole genome shotgun sequence.